GCGUGGUGUGUAUGAAAACAAACGGGUCUACUUCCCUACUUUAGCAACAUAUUUAGUUUAUACAUGAGUCAUUAGGGUUACGUAAAUUAAUAAAAUUCCAGAAUGCCCUUGUGGGUGUCAUUUAGUGACAAAAAUGAAUUAACACAAGUAAACCCAAUAUAAAAUCAAACAUUUAAAAAUAAUCACAAUAAAAUCGAAAUAAAACUAUAGCUAAUCGUAUUUAUAUCUUUUAGACAUUUUGGUAAAAAAAAACAAAAAUAAAAUGAAUGAAAAUGAAUAAAAAUUGAGCGCAAAAGUGUCCGGAAAAAUAAAAUG
rnacentral:lncRNA from 1 species